CCCUUAGACGUUCUGGGCCGCACGCGCGCUACACUGACGGAGCCAGCGAGUAUAAACCUUGGCCGAGAGGUCUGGGAAAUCUUGUGAAACUCCGUCGUGCUGGGGAUAGAGCAUUGUAAUUAUUGCUCUUCAACGAGGAAUUCCUAGUAAGCGCAAGUCAUCAGCUUGCGUUGAUUACGUCCCUGCCCUUUGUACACACCGCCCGUCGCUACUACCGAUUGAAUGGCUUAGUGAGGCUUCCGGAUUGGUUUAGAGAAGGGGGCAACUCCAUCUUGGAACCGAGAAGCUAGCCAAACUUGGUCAUUUAGAGGAAGUAAAAGUCGUAACA
rnacentral:rRNA from 1 species